UACGUAGGGUGCAAGCGUUGUCCGGAAUUAUUGGGCGUAAAGAGCUCGUAGGCGGUCUGUCGCGUCGGCUGUGAAAACUCGGGGCUCAACCCCGAGCCUGCAGUCGAUACGGGCAGACUAGAGUGCUGUAGGGGAGACUGGAAUUCCUGGUGUAGCGGUGAAAUGCGCAGAUAUCGGGAGGAACACCAGUGGCGAAGGCGGCACUCUGGGCCGGUACUGACGCUGAGGAGCGAAAGCGUGGGGAGCGAACAGG
rnacentral:rRNA from 1 species